rnacentral:rRNA from 1 species
GCCUACGGCCAUACCAGUCUGAAAGUGCCUGAUUUCGUCAGAUCUCAGAAGCCAUCCAGACUUGGGCCUGGUUAGUACUUGUAUGGGAGCCCAACUAGGAACCUCAGGUGUUAGGAA